GGAGGGCAAGUCUGGUGCCAGCAGCCGCGGUAAUUCCAGCUCCAAUAGCGUAUAUUAAAGUUGUUGCAGUUAAAAAGCUCGUAGUUGAAUUUCGGGAUUGACACAUCGGUCGUGCCUUAAGGGGUAUGAACUGGUGUAGUCAAUUUCUCACCUUCUGGAGAACCGCGAUGCCCUUAAUUGGGUGUCACGGGGAACCAGGACCUUUACUUUGAAAAAAUUAGAGUGUUUAAAGCAGGCAUUUUGCUUGAAUACAUUAGCAUGGAAUAAUGAAAUAGGACGUUUGAUUCUAUUUUGUUGGUUUCUAGGAUCGACGUAAUGAUUAAUAGGGAUAGUUGGGGGCAUUAGUAUUCAAUUGUCAGAGGUGAAAUUCUUGGAUUUAUUGAAGACUAACUACUGCGAAAGCAUUUGCCAAGGAUGUUUUCAUUAAUCAAGAACGAAAGUUAGGGGAUCGAAGACGAUCAGAUACCGUCGUAGUCUUAACCAUAAACUAUGCCGACUAGGGAUCGGAUGAUGUUAAUUUUUUAAUGACUCAUUCGGCGCCUUACGGGAAAC
rnacentral:rRNA from 1 species